UGUAGUUAAUACUUUUACUA
rnacentral:tRNA from 1 species